GACAGAGGGUGCGAACGUUGUUCGGAAUUACUGGGCGUAAAGCGCGUGUAGGCGGCAACGCAAGUCGGGCGUGAAAUCCCAUGGCUCAACCAUGGAAGUGCACUCGAAACUGCGUCGCUAGAGUCCUGGAGAGGAAGGUGGAAUGCUUGGUGUAGAGGUGAAAUUCGUAGAUAUCAAGCGGAACACCGGUGGCGAAGGCGGCCUUCUGGACAGUGACUGACGCUGAGACGCGAAAGCGUGGGGAGCAAACAGG
rnacentral:rRNA from 1 species